UAUAUUUUAGUGUAGGAUGCACGAUAAUUUUUGAAAUUAUAGGAUAUAGUUUAAUUCUAUAAAAUAUAA
rnacentral:tRNA from 1 species